ACAGCCACAUCACACUGGAACACCAGUUCCUGUAUGAUUACCAAAGUUAAGCAACAUUAAGCCUGGUUAGUACUUAGAUGGGCAACUGGUUGGGAAUACCAGAUGCUGUAA